GGGUGUGUAGCUCAGUUGGUUAGAGUGCUACGUUCACAUCGUAGAAGUCCCCAGUUCAAGUCUGGGCACACCCACCA
rnacentral:tRNA from 3 species